rnacentral:rRNA from 1 species
AUACGGAGGGUGCAAGCGUUAUUCGGAAUCACUGGGCGUAAAGGACGCGUAGGCGGGUUGGCAAGUCAGAUGUGAAAUCCUACAGCCUAACUGUAGAACUGCAUUUGAAACUGCUAACCUAGAGUAUGGGAGGGGGAGAUGGAAUUAGUGGUGUAGGGGUAAAAUCCGUAGAUAUCACUAGGAAUACCGAAAGCGAAGGCGAUCUCCUGGAACAUAACUGACGCUAAGGCGUGAAAGCGUGGGGAGCAAACAGGAUUAGAUACCCUAGUAGUCC